rnacentral:lncRNA from 1 species
UUCCCCUCCAAUAUCAAUGACUUCAGUAGCACUCAGUGUCAAGACUUCUGUAUUAUGAAACCGAAGAUAAAGAUAUAAUCACAGCUCAGCUACACUUGUUAAUGAGCUACCUUGGACUAGAAAUGAUAUCAGCGGCAUUGCUAUUAACAAGUUAAAUAACACCACGUGCAUUACUUACAACACAGUGUUCUUGAAGAUCACUGAGAAGCAGUGAUGAGCACAGUGAUUGCACCAUGUGAUAUGUGAGCAUCAGCUGUGGGAGUCAGGGAAACAUUGGAUGAGUUGCAUGGAGGAUGAGAUUCUUCUACAUACCAAGUGGCAGGAUACAUAAAAUAUUCAACUGUAUGCCAAGAAGGUUGAGAUUCACAUGCAGCAAUUGAGUAGCAUAUUUCUAUGUCUCCAUGAACAUGUCACCAUGGAGUGAGUUGUAACACUGAAAACAUCCAAAAGUCAUCUUUCAUGGAUAUCGGCAGCAAUGUAGAGAAUGGCUUGGAGGUAAUGCCUUUUCUGUCAAAAAGACCACUGACAUACAACAUCAAAGUAACACACUUUAUGAAUAAUAAAUAAGCAAUCAC